UGGGGAAUAUUGCACAAUGGGGGGGAACCCGUGAUGCAGCGACGCCGCGUGGGUGAAGGAGCGUUUCGGCGCGUAAAGCCCUAUCGGCAGGGAAGAAGGAGGACGGUACCUGACUAAGAAGCCCCGGCUAACUACGUGCC
rnacentral:rRNA from 1 species